CUAGGAGACGCACUUCCUAGUCAGACCUUUUGAUUUUACUUACAUCAUUUAAUUAUCUUACAUAUAGUUUAUGAUUUUGCUAACACUUACAAAAAUUUUCCUAGUGCAAACUGGGGCAGAAAAUUUUGUUCAUGUUGUUUGUCUUUAAUGAUUUGCAGGACCCACCUGAAGAAUGGGAAGAAAUCAGGACCCGCCUGAAGAAUGGGAACAAGUCAGGACCCGCCUGAAAAAUGGGAAGAAAGUCAGGACCCGCCUGAAGAAUGGGAGCAAGUGCAGGACCCGCCUGAAGAAUGGAAGCAAGUGCAGGACCCGCCUGAAGAGUGGGAUGAUCAGGAACCAGCCUGGAGAAUAGGGUCACCUUUCAAUUUCAAGUUCAAGAACCCGCCUGGAUAAUAGGGACAUCUUUCAAUUUCAAGUUCAGGAGCCCGCCUAAAUAAUAGGGUAUACUUUCAGUUCAGGAGCCCGCCUGAACAAUAGGGUCAACAUUCAACUGCCUUUCAAUUUCAAGAUCAGGACCCUGCCUGAAGCAUGGAGUUUACUUUCAAGUUCAAUUCAAGAUCGAAGUGUUUAUCUCACACUUUGGGAAACAUGAAGAUUCGAGUCAAGAUUCAAGAGAAGCUCCAUAGCUAGGAUCUUGUGCUUGUAUUUUAUUUUUCACUUUUGUCUUUCAUUUGAUGUAAUAAUAGGAUCGUGGACCGGAGCCUC